ACGCGCAGAGGAAAUCACCUCUAACGUUACUGACUGUUAUGCUAAGGAAGGACAGUUUGGUAUUUCUAGGUGUAAAAUACUUAAUUGUCGGUAAUAUGUCCUCCAAAAAGACAAAAGAAAUUUACAUUCCACGGUUUGGGUCGCAGUCAUCAAGCCGUAACCUUUCAAGAAAACCGGUUGCUAACGUUAACGUUACACAAAAUAGCAAAGUCAAAUCCAUCUAUCAGGAGGUGCACAUUUCACCAGUCAUUGCGAAAACACAAGUAAGCCCAACACUUUCAUCCAGCACAAGAGGUGUUAAGAAAGCGAACCGGAUGGCACUGAAGAAAUUAAACCGGCCAAAUAAAUGGUCUUGUGAGAAAGACGCACUGUCACACAGCUACACUGUUUCCAAAGGGACCCCUGAUGAUGGAGAAGGGGAUAUUUUCAAUUGUAUUGACAAAGGCGACCCUUUGUCCGCUAACAAAACGUCCAAAGCUAGGGAGAGUGUCCUGAGAACCAUUGCUAGAAUGCUCCAAGAGAACAGACUAAUCAGGAGGAGGCUGCUGACCCUUUCUCAACAAAGGCAGGCUGGCACAGACAUUAACUGAUUGAGGAGUCAGAUCAGGAGUCAGGUCAAGUUCAUUUCUACCAACUACUUUCAGGCAGUUAUUGUUGCAAGCAGGUUUGUUUGUGUCAUAUGGCAAAUCAACCAGCAGAGGGAGAUCUCGGCAUACUGCUGUCAGAGCCUGCUGUAGACCGGGUAGUGUUGACUGCUCAUGGUGCUUGUGUUGUCGUGUAGAUUUAAAUUGUUCUCAGCCUGAGGUUAAGCUGCUCAGUUUGCCAUUGAUGUGCAGGAGGCAGUCUGAUUUUCUGCCUUACAAGUAUAAAAGCAAUCAGCAGAAGCAUCAAGUUUGACUUACAAUCUCCUGCCACGUUAGAAAAACAUGUUUUAAACAUCCUUUAGCGCUUAGGUUUAAAGGCUCAAAUCACCACAGUACUCAUUCACUCAAUCAUUUGUAUUUCUAUGAAGCCCUCUAGAAGAUUAGUUUCAAUGGGAACGGUUCUGUACCUUCCAGGGAGUCAAUAAAAGCAAUACAUAUUCACGUGCCCAUUGUGUGAAGAGAUAAGAGCCUACACUUUUUUUCUUGUUCUCUUUCUGAGCACAUCAAAGCUUGAAUGUUCUCUUUUGCAUUCAUGAAGUUUCUGUUAAGGCCUUAUAAUCCUACGACUUGUGGCCUGGCCUUACAUGUGCCAUAUUUAUAGUUAACAGUUUAUAUUAUAUACCGAAAAGUAAAGUGAUUCAGUGACUGUUGAAGUUAUUGUUAUGUUUUUAUGUUAUGUAGUUGAUUGUUAUAAUUCCAUUAAAAAAAACA